rnacentral:rRNA from 1 species
UACGUAGGGGGCAAGCGUUGUCCGGAUUUAUUGGGCGUAAAGAGCGUGUAGGCGGCCAGGUAGGUCCGUUGUGAAAACUCGAGGCUCAACCUCGAGACGCCGAUGGAAACCAUCUAACUAGAGUCCGGAAGAGGAGAGUGGAAUUCCUGGUGUAGCGGUGAAAUGCGCAGAUAUCAGGAAGAACACCCGUGGCUAAGGCGGCUCUCUAGUACGGUACUGACGCUGAGACGCGAAAGCGUGGGGAGCGAACAGG